AUUGAACGCUGGCGGCAUGCCUUACACAUGCAAGUCGAACGGUAACAGGUCUUCGGAUGCUGACGAGUGGCGAACGGGUGAGUAAUGCAUCGGAACGUGCCCAGUAGUGGGGGAUAGCCCGGCGAAAGCCGGAUUAAUACCGCAUACGACCUGAGGGUGAAAGGGGGGGAUCGCAAGACCUCUCGCUAUUGGAGCGGCCGAUGUCAGAUUAGCUAGUUGGUGGGGUAAAGGCCUACCAAGGCAACGAUCUGUAGUUGGUCUGAGCGGACGACCAGCCACACUGGGGCUGGGACACGGCCCAGACUCCUACGGGAGUCAGCAGUGGGGAAUUUUGGGCAAUGGGCGCAAGCCUGAUCCAGCAAUGCCGCGUGCAGGAAGAAGGCCUUCGGGUUGUAAACUGCUUUUGUCAGGGAAGAAAUCUUCUGGGUUAAUACCUCGGGAGGAUGACGGUACCUGAAGAAUAAGCACCGGCUAACUACGUGCCAGCCGCCGCAGUAACAC
rnacentral:rRNA from 1 species